AACCCGCCCACACGAAGUCGGAGUUGCUAGUAAUCCCGAAUCAGCAUGUCGGGGUGAAUGCGUUCCCGGGUCUUGUACACACCGCCCGUCACGCCAUGGGAGUCGGAAGUGCCCAAAGUCGGUGACCUAACCGCAAGGAAGGAGCCGCCUAAGGUAAUGCCGAUGACUGGGUGAAGUCGUAACAAGGUACC
rnacentral:rRNA from 1 species